UUAUUAUCCUUAUACUUUUAUGUUUCAUUUGUAUUUUUAACAAAUUCCUUCUUUUCACUUCAUUUGGUGGUAACUGUACCAAUUUGGGAAAAACCACCGUACUGGAGUUUCUCUGCUGCCGUGAACCACCACACCGGAGACAAUUUGGGACUGAGAUUGAAGCAAGUCCUCUCACCCAAAGUAUGUGUAUUGAACUGGUAUGGGUUGAAAUUUCAAUGGAAUUGGGGAAGAAGAAAGAGUUGAAGAAGAUUAAGAAUUAUUGACUUUUCCUAAAUAAUUUAAAACCUGCUCUCAAAAUAAACAAGGUUCUAUGAUGGUACUAAUUGGAUAUGUCAAUGCUAGUUGCGUUAUUUUGGUUGGGCCUUUAGGAUGCUUUUUUAUCGUGGAAUCAAGCACGAACUUACGAGUUAAAGUUUCACUAUGGUUCUAAUGUUGAUAAAGAAAGGAUUGAUCAAGUAAAGAUUGUCACUUCCAUGUUAAUGAUUAUAUUUUGUAUGUACUUUGCUGUCAAAAGUUAUUUUGUAAGCAAUACUUGAUGUAAUAUCUCGAAUUAUACUUGUUUGUAAUGUAUCACUAUCUCAUGUGGGAUUGGAAAUCUUUCCAACCUACAAAUGUGUAAGGCUUUAAUAACUUUUAUUAUC
rnacentral:lncRNA from 1 species